UGACAUAGCUCAAUCGGUAGAGCGACGGUAUCGUAAACCGUAUGUUGCAGGUUCAAUUCCUGUUGUCA
rnacentral:tRNA from 1 species